rnacentral:ncRNA from 1 species
GCGUGGGUCGGCCCGUUCGCGUUGAUCGGCGGGUCGGGGGAUGCCGCCGCCUCAAUCCCCGCGGGUGGCGGAACGGUCCGGGGGGCGGAUCCCGUCUCCCGGACCGCA